GACGAACGCUGGCGGUGUGCUUAACACAUGCAAGUCGAACGGUAAGGCCCUUUCGGGGGUACACGAGUGGCGAACGGGUGAGUAACACGUGAGUAACCUGCCCUCAUCUCUGGGAUAACAGUCGGAAACGGUUGCUAAUACUGGAUAUGAGCUUGCAAGGCAUCUUGUGGGUUGGAAAGAUUUUUUUGGUUGGGGAUGGACUCGCGGCCUAUCAGCUUGUUUGUGAGGUAGUGGCUCACCAAGGCUUCGACGGGUAGCCGGCCUGAGAGGGCGACCGGCCACAUUGGGACUGAGAUACGGCCCAAACUCCUACGGGAGGCAGCAGUGGGGAAUAUUGCACAAUGGACGGAAGUCUGAUGCAGCAACGCCGCGUGCGGGAUGACGGCCUUCGGGUUGUAAACCGCUUUCAAUUGUGACGAAGCUUUUUGUGACGGUAGCAGUAGAAGAAGCACCGGCUAACUACGUG
rnacentral:rRNA from 1 species